rnacentral:miRNA from 1 species
UCAUAGGAUAUUGGAGUCUU